AAUCCCGUGAACCAUCGAGUCUUUGAACGCAAGUUGCGCCCGAAGCCUUCGGGCCGAGGGCACGCCUGCCUGGGCGUCACGCAUCGCGUCGCCCCUUCCACCCGCUCCCCAAGGAACGGGGGGCUGGAGAAUGGCCUCCCGUGCGCUCCCGUCGCGCGGCCGGCCC
rnacentral:rRNA from 1 species